CCCUUAGACGUUCUGGGCCGCACGCGCGCUACACUGACCAGUGCAACAAGCAUCCGUCCUUGGCCGACAGGCCCGGGCAAUCUUUGAACGCUGGUCGUGAUGGGGAUAGACUUUUGCAAUUUUUGGUCUUCAACGAGGAAUUCCUAGUAAACGCAAGUCAUCAACUUGCAUUGAUUACGUCCCUGCCCUUUGUACACACCGCCCGUCGCACCUACCGAUUGAAUGGUCCGGUGAAGCCUCCGGAUUGGCGCGCACCUCGGUGCCGCCGAGAAGUUGGCUAAACCUUACCAUUUAGAGGAAGGUGAAGGCGUAACA
rnacentral:rRNA from 1 species